CGCAAGCAGGGCAACUGGUAGGCCGAGGCCUAUAACCUCGAAGAACGGGUUCGAUUCCCGGGCCUGCAACCA
rnacentral:tRNA from 1 species